GUAACGGAGCUGCACACAGAGCUGGAGCCUUUCUCUACCCGUGGGGCCCAUCACUACCCCACUUCUCCAGAAACUGCUAGUAGUUGGUUGGGCUCAGCCAUGAACAACUGAAUUCCCAAGAAAGAUAAAGGGUGGACUGUGAAGGGUUUCUGUGAAAACCACAGUGGCAAAGUCAACUGUCAAGAUCAUGCUGUAUCAUGGGUGGCUGCUAGAGGACAUUUGAACGGAAAUAAAUAUGUCUUUGCAUCUGUUAGUGGUAUUGUGAGCUGUAUGCGAGCCGUCACAGUAUGGUGGGUUGUCUGCCAGAGUGACCCCUGUGCAAGGCAUGAGAACCAAGGUUGAGAACCGCUACAGUAAAGCUUGGAUCCAAAGUCUGGAGACAAGAGAGCGUCAGCUAGGAUCUGGAACCGACUGACUGCUUCCCUUCAGCGCUCUGCGGCUCUUGCCUGGUAAAGACAUAUUCAGCAAAGUUUACGUAACAGAGGAAUGAAGAGGAGCAGCCAUCCUUUAGCUGCCACAGAAUAAAUGUCUGACCCAAAGAGAACCCUAGAAUUCUUUUCAAGCCUUUUGCUUUUUUUGUUCAGCCGCGUGUUCAACAAUCUUUGAAGUGUUUUACAAAAAUAGGAGGCAGCGUGGCCUCGGGCUGGAAACCUUUCGAGCGCCACAUCUGUGAUUCUCCUUUCACAGUAUCCAGGACAGCAGAGCUAAACGUGCUUUCCUGGCUGAUUGAUUAAUGAACCUUAAGCCCAGGCAGGCUGUGGUCCAGGGGCACAUUCUUCUGUGAUCAGCACUCCUCUCCCUACUCCAGUGGCCUGUGGCAGAAGAUCACUGAGUUCCUGGAAACCUUGAAGGACAAAGAACAGGGAUUGGUGGCAAAAGAAUGGCUACCCUGGUGUCCGCUUACUCGAUGGAGAAAGCAGUGACUUUACGUUGAAGCAAACGAAUUUUCACUGCAUUGCAUCCCGAAGCAUAGUUCUCGCAGGAAGCAAGUGUAAUUUUAGACACCCAAACAAACCAUAAAUUCCAGC